GUAGGGAAUAUUGGGCAAUGGAUGCAAGUCUGACCCAGCCAUCCCGCGUGCCGGAAGAAGGCCCUCAGGGUUGUAAACGGCUUUUGACGGUGAAGAAUCGACAGGAUGCGUCCUGUUUUGACGGUAGCCGUUGAAUAAGCACCGGCUAACUCCGUGCCAGCAGCCGCGGUAAUACGGAGGGUGCGAGCGUUGUCCGGAUUUAUUGGGUUUAAAGGGUGCGUAGGCUGGAAGGUCAGUCAGCGGUGAAAAGCUGUCGCUUAACGAUAGUCUUGCCGCAGAUACUUCCUUUCGUGGAUGAGGAGGAGGCCACUGGAACGGAUGGUGUAGCGGUGAAAUGCAUAGAUAUCAUCCAGAACACCGAUUGCGAAGGCAGGUGGCUGUACCUUAAUCGACGCUGAUGCACGAAAGCAUGGGGAGCAAACAGGAUUAGAUACCCGUGUAGUCC
rnacentral:rRNA from 1 species